UAGCAUAAUCMUUAGUUUUUUAAUUGAAGACUAGAAUGAAAGGUUUAAUAAGAAAUAUUCUUUAUUAUAAAUAAAAAAUUAAAUUUUUUAUUUUAGUAAAAAAACUAAAAUUUAAAAAAAAGACGAUAAGACCCUAUAAAGCUUUAUAAUUUAAUUUUUAAUUUUUAAUUAAAAAUUUUUUAUUUUUAAAAAUUUAAUUAUUAAAUUGGGGUGAUUAAAAGAUUUAUAAAACUCUUUUUAUUUUUUUUUAAUUAUAAUUAAUAUUUUUUUUUGAUCUUAAUUUUUAAAUUAAAAAAAUUAGUUACUUUAGGGAUAACAGCGUAAUUUUUUUGAAGAGUUCAAAUCGAUAAAAAAGUUUGCGACCUCGAUGUUGAAUUAAGAUAUAAAGUUAGGUGUAGAAUUUUAAUUUUU
rnacentral:rRNA from 1 species